GGCAGCACGAUGUAGCAAUACAUUGGUGGCGACCGGCGCACGGGUGAGUAACGCGUAUGCAACCUACCUAUCAGAGGGGAAUAACCCGGCGAAAGUCGGACUAAUACCGCAUAAAACAGGGGUUCCACAUGGAAAUAUUUGUUAAAGAAUUAUCGCUGAUAGAUGGGCAUGCGUUCCAUUAGAUAGUUGGUGAGGUAACGGCUCACCAAGUCCACGAUGGAUAGGGGUUCUGAGAGGAAGGUCCCCCACACUGGUACUGAGACACGGACCAGACUCCUACGGGAGGCAGCAGUGAGGAAUAUUGGUCAAUGGGCGAGAGCCUGAACCAGCCAAGUCGCGUGAAGGAUGAAGGAUCUAUGGUUUGUAAACUUCUUUUAUAUGGGAAUAAAGUGAGGAACGUGUUCCUUUUUGUAUGUACCAUAUGAAUAAGCAUCGGCUAACUCCGUGCCAGCAGCCGCGGUAAUACGGAGGAUGCGAGCGUUAUCCGGAUUUAUUGGGUUUAAAGGGAGCGUAGGUGGUUAAUUAAGUCAGCGGUGAAAGUUUGUGGCUCAACCAUAAAAUUGCCGUUGAAACUGGUUGACUUGAGUAUAUUUGAGGUAGGCGGAAUGCGUGGUGUAGCGGUGAAAUGCAUAGAUAUCACGCAGAACUCCGAUUGCGAAGGCAGCUUACUAAACUAUAACUGACACUGAAGCACGAAAGCGUGGGGAUCAAACAGGAUUAGAUACCCUGGUAGUC
rnacentral:rRNA from 1 species